rnacentral:rRNA from 1 species
GUCGAAAGGGAAACAGCCCAGAUCGUCGUCUAAGGUCCCCAAGCGUGUGCUAAGUGGGAAAGGAUGUGGAGUCGCAUAGACAGCCAGGAGGUUGGCUCAGAAGCAGCCACCCUUGAAAGAGUGCGUAACAGCUCACUGGUCUAGUGGUUCCGCGCCGACAAUGUAGCGGGGCUCAAGCACACCACCGAAGACGCGGCAGUAGCUUUGCUACUGGGUAGGAGAGCGUCCCAUGCGGGGCGAAGCGGCGGCGCAAGCCCGCCGUGGACCGCAUGGGAGUGAGAAUGCAGACAUGAGUAGCGAAAGACGGGUGAAGAUCCCGUCCGCUGGACGACCAAGGGUUCCAGGGCCACGUUCAUCGUCCCUGGGUGAGUCGGGUCCUAAGGCGAGGCCGACAGGCGUAGUCGAAUGGAUGAACGGGUCGAUAUUCCCGUACCGGCAUGCAACCGACAAAACCGAAUCCGCGAGUACUAACCUCCGGGUCCGGGCUUACGUCUCCUUCGGGAGCCGGAUGCCCUGGCCUGUUGGGACCGUAACGGUAGUAGGUCAGCGCGGGAGUGACGCAGAAGGGUAGCCGGCCGCGGAGGUGGUCUUCCGUGGUCAAGCACGCAGCCCGUCCCACAGGCAAAUCCGUGGGGCGCGUGGGCGAGGUGCGAUGAUGGGCGCCGCAGGGCGCGAUAUCCGGUGAUCCCGGCUGCCGAGAAAAGCUUCGGCGUGAGGCGGCGUGCCGCCCGUACCCCAAACCGACACUGGUGGUCAGGUAGAGAAUACCAAAGCGAUCGAGCGAAUCCUGGUCAAGGAACUCGGCAAAUCACUCCCGUUCCUUCGGUUUAAGGGAGACCCCCGAUGGUGAAGCGGCUUGCCCGUGGAGCUUUUGGGGGUGGCACAGACCAGGGGGUAGCGACUGUUUACCAAAAACACAGGAGCGUGCGAAGGCGCAAGCCGCUGUAUACGCUCUGACGCCUGCCCGGUGCCGGAAGGUUAAGAGGAUCCGUCAGGCUUCGGCCGAAGCGGUGAAUUCAAGCCCCGGUAAACGGCGGUGGUAACUAUAACCAUCCUAAGGUAGCGAAAUUCCUUGUCGGGUAAGUUCCGACCUGCACGAAUGGCGUAACGACUUCCCCACUGUCUCGACCAGGAGCUCGGCGAAAUUGCAGUACGAGUAAAGAUGCUCGUUAAGCGCAGAAGGACGAAAAGACCCCGGGACCUUUACUAUACCUUGGUAUUGGCAUUCGGUGUGGAUUGUGUAGCAUAGGCGGAAGGCUUCGAAGC